rnacentral:rRNA from 1 species
GACGUAGGGCGCGAGCGUUGUCCGGAUUUAUUGGGCGUAAAGAGCUCGUAGGCGGCUUGUCGCGUCGGACUGUGAAAACCCGCAGCUCAACUGUGGGCUUGCAGCCGAUACGGGCAGGCUAGAGUUCGGUAGGGGAGAGUGGAAUUCCUGGUGUAGCGGUGAAAUGCGCAGAUAUCAGGAAGAACACCCCGUGGCUAAGGCGGCCUC